CAGGUACGUCAACAGGUGUCAAUGCCUCUGGUUAAGUCGUGAGAAACAACGUUUUAAUAACCUGAGAAGAGUUUGCCUGAUAUUGGGAAGGUUUCUAAUCACAGAAAAGGCCUUAUUCUAGAUUUCAAACAUGAUCAAAGGAGAUCCUCCACUGAAAGUGCUUCUUAGUCCAGGACUAGGCUUAAUCUGCCCGGGAAACCAGGCCGUAACACUCAUACAUAUGCUUACAGGCAGGGGGCAGUGAUGUGUCUGUCUCAAAGGAGAAUAGAACCAUUGUAUGACAUAGUGUACUGUGGGCAGUUUCAGUGGUGUUGCCACAUCCAAGCGAACCAUGACAAUGUCAGGUAUGUUGGUAAACCAGCUCUACUGAAGCACCAAACCCUCCUUUCCACUUCAAUUCACAGGGACGAGUUAGACGAAAUGGGACAUUGUACUUUCCCUGAUGACAGCAACCCAGAAUGACUCACUUUCAUCUUUUUUUAUUCUCUCCUUUUCCAGGAGACAUGUUUGUGCUGCAGGUAAAACCAGGGCAUCACCAGAACACUAUUAUACCUGUAUACAUGUUCUCUCUCUACAGGUAAAACCAGAGCAUCACCAGAAUGCUGUUAUACCUGUAUACAUGAUCUCUCUCUACAGGUAAAACCAGAGCAUCACCAGAAUGCUGUUAUACCUGUAUACAUGAUCUCUCUCUACAGGUACAACCAGGGCAUCACCAGAACAUUGUUAUACCUGUAUACAUGAUCUCUCUCUACAGGUAAAACCAGGGCAUCACCAGAAUGCUGUUAUACCUGUAUACAUGAUCUAUUUCUACAGGUAAAACCAGGGCAUCACCAGAACACUAUUAUACCUGUAUACAUGUUCUCUCUCUACAGGUAAGUGGGAAUACCCAGACCAACCUUUUUCCCUGACAAGAGGAACUAUAAAGAUGGAAUGCAUAGGUGAACGGAUGAUCUCAGCAUGUGUGGUUCCCACUGUGAAGAAUGGAGGAGGAGGGGUGAUGGUGUGGGGGUGCUUUGCUGGUGACACUGUCAGUGACUUAUUUAGAAUUCAAGGCACACUUAACCAGCGAUACGCCAUCCCAUCUAGUUUGCGCUUAGUGGGACUAUCAUUUGUUUUUCAACAGGACAAUGACCCAACAACACCUCAAGGCUGUUUAAUAAGGGCUAUUUGACCAAGGAGGAGAGUGAUGGAGUGCUGCAUCAGAUGACCUGGCCUCCACAAUCACCCGAACUCUACCAAAUUGAGAUGGUUUGGGAUGAGUUGGACCACAGAGGGAAGGAAAAGCAGCCAACAAGUGCUCAGCAUAUGUGGGAACUCCUCCAAGACUGUUGGAAAAGCAUUCCAGGUGAAGCUAGUUGAGAGAAUGUCAAGAGUGUGCAAAGCUGUCAUCAAGUCAAAGGGUGGCUACUUUGAAGAAUCUAAAAUAUAUUUUGAUUUGUUUAAAACUUUUUUGGUUUCUACAUGAUUUCAUAUGUGUUAUUUUAUAGUUGUGAUGUCUUCACUAUUAUUCUACAAUGUAGAAUAAAGUAAAAAUAAAAUAAAACCCUUGAAUGAGUAGGUGCAUCCAAAAUUUUGACUGGUACUGUAUGUAAAUAAGAUAUGUUAUUUUUAAUAAAUUUGCGCAAAAAUAACUUUUCUGUUUGUAUUAUUUUUUUGUGUGUAGAUUGAUGAGGACAAAUGUUUUUAAUCAAUUUUAGAAUAAAACUAAUGUAACAAAAUGUGGACAAGUGAAGGGAUCUGAAUACGCUAUAUGUGACUUGCAGGAAGGGUUGCACAAUUCUGGUAAAUCUUCCAGGUUUUCCAGGAAUCCUGGUUGGAAAAUUCCUUAAUAUUCUCAAACCAGAAUAUAUAUUUUUUUAUCUGGUAAUUUGGAGAAAAUUACUGGAAUUUUGCUACCCUACUUGCAGGCCUUACGUGGCCUGUAAACCUCAAGUUUCAGACAACUGUAGGAGGGUGAAACUAGACCUCAUAUAAGGCCUUAUGAGAUAUGUAAUGUAUUGUCAAAGAGAGUAUAAUUAUAAUAUUCGCCUAGCAACUCACUUGGUGAAAGGCCACAGGACUGAACAUCAACAGAAAUCAACAACCAUGUCUCUGUCAAUAACAAAUGCAGUCAUGGGUGCAGUCACUACAAAAGGCAAGGCACACUGGGAAAUGAUAUUGGAGGCAUGGCUUAGUGGGUGUAUUAUUCAAAAUGUUCAAGC
rnacentral:lncRNA from 1 species